GUGCCGGCGAGUCGAACGCUACAGAACCAGUCUAAAAUGUAACAUCCAGAUGCGUAACAAAGGCGCGUUAUCGGAGAGCGCACUUACAUUGGUUAUUUGAGCGUUGGACUAGCCCGCGCUCAGGUGUCAAUUAGAAUUACACGACCUUUUUAGGGUUCCGUAGCCAAAUGGCAAAAAACGGAACCCUUAUAGAUUCGUCGUGUCUGUCUGUCCGUCCGUAUGUCACAGCCACUUUUUUCCGAAACUAUAAGAACUAUACUGUUGAAAUUUGGUAAGUGGAUGUAUUCUGUGAACCGCAUUAAGAUUUUCACACAAAAAUAGAAAAAAACAAUAAAUUUUGGGGGUUCCCCAUACUUAGAACAGAAACUCAAUUUUUUUUCUUUCAUUAAACCCAUACGCGUGGGGUAUCUAUGGAUAGGUCUUUAAAAAUGAUAUUGAGGUUUCUAAUAUAUUUUUUUUCUAAACGGAAUAGUUUGCUCGAGAGACACUUCCAAAGUGGUAAAAUAGAAUGAUAAAACUAAAAAAAAUAUAUGAUAUACAUUACCAUACAAACUUCCACCUAAAAUUGGUUUGAACGAGAUCUAGUAAGUAGUAUUUUUUUAAUCGUCA